CAGUUCUGUGGUGUUCUUGGUCACACAUUUAUGGAGUUUCUGAAGGGCAGUGGAGACUACUGCCAGGCACAGCACGACCUCUAUGCAGACAAGUGAACUGUAGAAAUUCAUUACUACUCCACCAAGAAGCCCCCUUAAGAGUGGUUGACCAGGAGAAGAAGUAUUGAAUUGAAAUUGGCAGAGCAUUUACCAACAGAAUUCAGACCUGGAUGGGGUAAACCUCAGUGCACUGCCUUUCUUUUGCCUCAGUAUUACUGGAUUGAAGAAUUGCUGCUUCUUGUUAGGAGGUUCAUUUCAUUUCCCAUUGCUCCCAACUUCAUUCUUCCAAGCACUGAGAAUUUCACGUGGAGUAUAGUGAAGUAGACUUCAGUUUCUCUACAUCACUUCUGUGUUAGAAUUUUUUUUUUUUUUUUGAAUCCUUUCAUAAUCUUGUUGCAUGUUUAACUAAAUCAGUAUGGCCCGAAUGAACCGCCCAGCUCCUGUGGAAAUCACCUACAAGAACAUGAGAUUCCUAAUCACACACAAUCCAACCAAUGCAACCUUAAACAAAUUUAUAGAGGAACUUAAGAAGUACGGUGUUACCACAGUAGUAAGAGUGUGUGAAGCUACUUACGACACUGCUCCGGUGGAAAAAGAAGGCAUUCAGGUUUUGGACUGGCCCUUUGAUGACGGUGCUCCACCAUCCAACCAGAUUGUUGAUGAUUGGCUAAACCUCCUUAAAGUUAAAUUCCGUGAAGAACCUGGUUGUUGUAUUGCUGUACACUGUGUUGCUGGUCUUGGAAGAGCUCCAGUCUUAGUUGCUCUUGCGCUGAUAGAAUGUGGAAUGAAGUAUGAAGAUGCUGUCCAGUUCAUAAGACAGAAGCGACGUGGAGCUUUUAACAGCAAACAACUUCUGUACUUGGAGAAAUACCGCCCCAAGAUGCGUCUGCGCUUUAAAGACUCCAAUGGUCACCGAAACAAUUGUUGCAUUCAGUGAAGCUGCAGAGCCUAUCCUACUUCUUUGGGAAUAACAGAUGGAAACUAGAAUUAAGCAGACUGCAUGCCAAAGGCAUCAGUCUGGUAUUUUUUUUAGUAGUAAAGGAAGCUUCCCUAGGAGUAUUGAAUAGGCUAAAGGCUUAGGAGAAAUGCAACUUCUAUGUUUAGCUAAAUAUCCAUCUGUUCGGAGACCCAGUAAAUGUUUUUGCUGUACCCUGGUUUUGAGGUGUCUCCUUGUUGAUGAAUUACCAGUUCAGAUAUCCUUAAAUCAUGCUAUUGAGUCUUAUCCACCUAGUUUCAACUACUAAAAAUUGGGGUACUAAAACGAAUCAAUCUGUAGAGAGAUUAGGUGCCAAAAUACCCAGCAUAUCAGUUACAUGUUUUUCCUUAGAAAUGAGUCUAGUUCUGAUGAUGUGAGACCUACCAGCUUAUCUGGACCUUACUAUCUUUUUUCUACAGUCAUUUCAAUAUUGAAGAAUAUGGCCUCUAAGGUAGUCUUGCCUGCUUACUGUAUGUUUUGUCUCCCACAAUCGCACUAGAAUUAUCAGGAUUUGCACAGUCUGUCUUUUUAAUACGAUGAAUUACAGCAACUUUUUACCCCAGUGUCUGUACUUUUUCUGUUACCUGAACCUCUCCAUUUUACAAAUCAUUACUCUGGUUACUCAUGUAGAAAAUAUUUUAAAUUGUACAGAAGCACACAAGUCUUUAAUGUCUCCAGACAAAAAAGCCUUACAGUAAAAUUAAUGUUGGCACUUCAUGUGCAACUUAACAGAGGGCCUGAAAAGGUUGGGAGGGGCUAUUUAAUAUUUCUAGUAAAAUGUUGCCUUUGUCUUGUGCAGGAAGUAUAGAAUAUGCCCUUUACUUUAGUAAAUAUUUUUUUAAAACGUAGAAACGCUUUGUUAUUGUAGCUACAAAUUCUUAAUCAGAGAAUUUCUGAAAAAUCUUGUAGUUUCUUUUACUGUACCUAUUGAAAGUUGUUUACCAACUAUUGCUUUGUUGAAAGUGUGAUUUAUUUUUUUUUUUCUUUUGUUUUUCCUCCUUGAGUUUCUGCUAUGACUCGGGCAGACCUCUGUAAUAUUUUGUAUGCCUUUCAAGCUGCGUAACUUAAUAUUUGGAUACUUGAUAAUUUGUUUUAUUAUGUAAUUGAUAAAAUGGUGAUGUGUAUUAAUGUUAGUUCAACCAUAUAUUUAUACUGUCUUGGGAAUGUGUGGUUAUAGUUCUGUGGGAGAAAUAAUUUUGCCAGUGUUCACCAGCUUGUAAAAUCUAGUGCGAGAGCUUAAACAUCUAAAUAAAUACUGAAAUGCACUUACGAAGUUUGCUGAAAUGCUCAUGACUUUCACUUCUUUUUUGUGUACUUUGUCAGCAAUCUUGAGGUGCCUAAAUCCAGAAUCUAUCCAGGCAUCUGUUUUCUUUUUUUAAAAUCUGGGCCUGAAUGUCCCCUUUGCUGUAAUGUUUGCUGUUUGUUUUACUCAUAAAUAAAUGUGGACAAAAAUUAA